AUUUUAAUUUCAUAUUUUGCAAGCGUUUGACUAGAUACUGCAUUGUUGAAAAUGCAUGUCAACAAAUUAUGCUGACCAACGUUGUCAGCUCGAAUGUCUAUCCGCGCAGUAAUUUUCGCUUUGUUUCUCGUUAAAUGAUGAUGCUCACAGAAGCCGCAGAACAAAAAUAAAAAUCCCGUGGAAAUUAACGAUAAAUGCAGAAUAUAUAAUAAACAUUUACUUCGGCUGCAUCGAAGCUAUAAUUCACAGAUGUAUUUUUUAUAACAACUACAUAAACAAGGUGUGUUCAAAGGAAAAGGUUCUUCGGCGUUUUCUUCUAGAUGUUACAAAUUUUGUGAAAAGAUCUCUUAACAAGCCGCAAAACUCUUCGUUGAUGAUCUAGAACUUCACUCUUGAGCCUCAAAACAUCAAGAAAUGGUUAAAACUCAAAGUAGAGAUGAAAUCAUUUUUGUCAUUGGUAUUGCAGUUGUUGAUUUUGCGCAGGAAACAUUUUUUAAUAUAUAAUAUAUCGACUUUUUCUGAACCUAAACAAAAAUAGUUCUGUUAAAAGAAUUCCUCUUCUUAAGUCGCAAAUAUAGUAAGCGGGUUUUGAUACUCCUCUGCUCUCCUUUUAUGGAAAGAAGAAAAAUAACAACGCAAUUUUUUAUAGGUUAGCAGAGUUUUCCUGCCUUACAACUUAUCGAGAAUGUACUGCCCUAGCAUGAUACAACCGGCCUUUUAAAUAUUGGCAUUCGUUUUAAUAAAAAAAAAUUACGUAGAAUAUAACGUAUAUUUGUGCUGUUGUACUUAAAGCAAAUCAUAAAGUGAAUAGUGUAUUGGAUUUUCAAAUAAUUUUUAUUACUGUAUAUUAUAAUUUUAUAAAUGAGUCAUAUUAACCGCAAGAUGAUAAACCCAC